rnacentral:rRNA from 1 species
UACGGAGGGGGCUAGCGUUGUUCGGAAUUACUGGGCGUAAAGCGCACGUAGGCGGCUUUGUAAGUUAGAGGUGAAAGCCCGGGGCUCAACUCCGGAAUUGCCUUUAAGACUGCAUCGCUAGAAUUGUGGAGAGGUAAGUGGAAUUCCGAGUGUAGAGGUGAAAUUCGUAGAUAUUCGGAAGAACACCAGUGGCGAAGGCGACUCACUGGACACGUAUUGACGCUGAGGUGCGAAAGCGUGGGAGCAAACAGG